UACAGAGGUCCCAAGCGUUGUUCGGAUUCACUGGGCGUAAAGGGUGCGUAGGUGGUCGGGUAAGUCUGAUGUGAAAUCUCUGAGCUUAACUCAGAAACUGCAUUGGAUACUAUUCGGCUGGAGGAGUGGAGGGGGGACUGGAAUACUUGGUGUAGCAGUGAAAUGCGUAGAUAUCAAGUGGAACACCAGUGGCGAAGGCGAGGCCCUGGACAGUUACUGACACUGAGGCACGAAAGCUAGGGGAGCAAACAGG
rnacentral:rRNA from 1 species